CGCGUAGGCGGUUUAGUCAGUCAGAUGUGAAAGCCCCGGGCUCAACCAGGGAACUGCAUUUGAUACUGCUAAGCUAGAGUAUGGUAGAGGCAAGUGGAAUUCCAGGUGUAGCGGUGAAAUGCGUAGAUAUCUGGAGGAACAUCAGUGGCGAAGGCGACUUGCUGGACCGAUACUGACGCUGAGGUGCGAAAGCGUGGGUAGCAAACA
rnacentral:rRNA from 1 species